rfam:Oryza rufipogon genomic scaffold, chr01
AACCUUACCAGCCCUUGACAUAUGAACAACAAAACCUGUCCUUAACGGGAUGGUACUGACUUUCAUACAGGUGCUGCAUGGCUGCCGUCAGCUCGUGUCGUGAGAUGUUUGGUCAAGUCCUAUAACGAGCGAAGCGACUUGGACCGAACCGGGGAUUUUAUGUUCCUACACGGCCCG